rnacentral:rRNA from 1 species
UGAGUAACAUGUAUCCAACCUGCCGUCUACUCUUGGCCAGCCUUCUGAAAGGAAGAUUAAUCCAGGAUGGCAUCAUGAGUUCACAUGUCCGCAUGAUUAAAGGUAUUUUCCGGUAGACGAUGGGGAUGCGUUCCAUUAGAUAGUAGGCGGGGUAACGGCCCACCUAGUCAACGAUGGAUAGGGGUUCUGAGAGGAAGGUCCCCCACAUUGGAACUGAGACACGGUCCAA